GGCUUAGAUGCUAGAAAUGAGCCCCUCCAACAUAGUUACCUAAAGAGCAAGUUAUUAUUUUUUUAAUAUUCCAAGAUUUUUCCUCAGUGAUUCUCCAUCUGCAAACUCAGUCACAAAUCAGGCCUUAUCGUGUUAAAACACCAAAUGUCAUUGAAGAGAUAAUUUCAUGGUCUCCCCUGAAGUGUAUUCAGGGUAACAACAUUCUCGUCAUAUUCCAGCUCAUUGGGUUAAACUUGCAGUUCAGUAGCUUGGGACCAGAUAGAGAAGACUCUGUGUAGGGACAAGAAAGAAUGAUGCUCAAAUGUCAGACCUUAAAGACACCAACUCUAACUCUCUUCUGUGUUACAAGUAAAAGCUGAGACCCAGAAGGAAGGCCUCCUUCAAGUCCAUGUGGUUAAUUUACAGUACAGUGAGAGCAGGAAGGGGAGAAUCCCGUCUUUCUCUCAGAGACGUCACUCCCAUUUCAGAAAGGAUUCACGUUCCCAAUCUCAUUUCAGACAUCCAGGAACUGUGAUUUGGGAGUUGGGUCCCCUGCCCCUAUUUUACUGCAGGGGAGACUGAGGCACAAGGAGAUCCCGUGUCUAACUGGUACAUGGAACGGAACCAGUUAAUGCCGAAGAGGACUGUGGUCAUGCUUUCCUGAAGUUCAGAGCUUGCCCUUUCCACUAGGUAGAGGAUCCUGCUUUCGUUCUCCUUUGGUUGCAUUUAGCAACAGAACCUCCUAGGUUUUAGAGGGUCUGGAAGGUGGGAGACCACCUUCCCCAGCCUUCACCUCUUGCCAGUAGGUAUGGACGUGAGACCGCCUUCUGGCCAAUAGGGUGCAAAAAGAAGUGUGUGCACCACAGAUCUGGUCACGUCCUUUGACCCAGGCUUGUUCACUGAAUGAAGGCAUUCCACAUGUUCUGUGAUGCGGGCAAGUCAUUCAUUCAUUUAUGCAUUUAGAAUGAGCUUUGAGAAUAUGGCAGCCUACAAAAUGGACAUGGUCCUGCCUUCAGGGAGCUUCUGGUCCAGCCUAUGGCCUCUUGCCUGGAAAGAGAUGUUACCACGUUAUUAGGAGGUAGUGUGGUGUGGUAAGUGCUUUCGUGGGAAAAGCAGAGGGGAUUGUGGGAGCUCAGAGUGGGGUACCCAACCUGGAUGGGAGGUCAGAGAAUGCCACAGAAUCUGUUUGGCCUUCAAUCACUAAUCUGUAUAGUUAGCAAUAUGGACAAGCUGGUCUUUAAUAACUCAUACCCCUUCAUUUCUAAUUCUCUGUCAUGUGUUCUAUGUGGUUCCUGAGGGAGAUCUCCAACCAGGGAGACAAAUGAAAGAAUGAGGAUUUAGCUUUAUGGAAAAAACACCUAAAGGUGGAACAGUCUCCAGGUACACAGGCUGCCUCACAAGGUAGUUAUUGGUAGCAGCACAGUAAAAUGUCUAGGAGAUCAAUGACUUAAGCCACCGACUGUUUUGUUAUUCUUGUGAUUCUGUGGGGUGACAGGGCUCAGCUGGUUGGUUCUGCUGCUCUUCAUGAUGUCGCUGGCUGCAGUCACCUGGGGUCUCCAUGCUGGCUGGCAAUCUAAAGCAGCUCAUUCCCCCUGCUGGCAGCUGGUGCUGGCUGUUGGCAGGAGGUCUUUUAGAGUUGUCAACUGGAACACCUUGGUUCUCCUCCAUGUGGCUUCUCCUUGGGGCCCAGGCUUCUCUUGUGAUUGUGUCCCAAGGGGAAGGAAGGAGAAACUGCUAAUCUUGGAUUUGGGCUUGGAAGUUCUGGAGUGUCACCUCUACUACAUUCUGCUCAUCAUAUCACAGGGCCAGCCCAGAUUCAAGGGGAGAGAAUGUAACCCUCACAUCUUAAUAUGAUACCCACUAUGUGCAUUCAGGGAAGGAAAGACUCAUUGGCAGCUGACUGAGAGACUCGCUUCCCAUUGAGCUUCCCAUCACUGGGACUGUUGAAGCAAAGGUUUCACAAUCUGACUUGAAUUGGGCUCAGGACACAUUGAGCAACCCCGAUCGGUGGCUCACCUGCAAGUCAAGCCUAUGACCAGAG
rnacentral:lncRNA from 1 species